rnacentral:lncRNA from 1 species
AUAAGCAGUUGCAAAGUUCGAUUUUGCUGUAUAGUAUUGAGCCACAUAUUCUUCACAGUAUAUUUUGCUCAUACCUACUGCAGACUUCCUCAUGACAGCUGAAGUGCAAACUGUAAGUGACUUCAUCGCUGCCUUCCUCUUUUGCACCCCAUCACUAUGCACGGGUGAAUGCUGAACUCAGUUAGCGAAUUCACCUUGCCUUUGUAACUGAAAUGGAUUCCAUUGGUUGGUAUGCAACAACAAUAAUAAUAACAAAAAAGCUCAAUAAACUUGGCUUCCCCAGUGCUCUGAUAGCUGCAUAUCCAUUUGUUGGUAAAUGGUGGAAGACAGAAGACUUAUUAUAGAUUUUACAUCCUGCCCACGAGGAUUUUGACUGAUUCCAUUGAGCAGGCUCGGGAAUCUUAGACAUCUAGACGCACACCAUGUGAACUAAAAGCAGUUUGCAAUCUUCCUAAAGAAUUCUGACACUGACUCCUGCCUUCAGCUGAAAGGCUGCCACGUCCUGGGACCACACUCUCAAUAGCUGGAUGGAAAAUGAUUACUCCGAGCAAAUGCACACCAACUGGCAAGUGAUUGCAGUGUCCUGUGGAUAUACAUCGGGAGAAGCAGAAGAAUUGAGCUGGCAAGUUGUACAGUAGAAGGAGACUGCCUCAGGGCCUGAGCCUCUGUGAGGCUUGUGGACCCUCCACCACCU